GGAAUCUAUUCUAUAAAAGCUUUUGACAGUUGCUGAUUAUAACGUCGAAGCAGCGCAACAGGGCAUUGUGUAUAUUUGAAGUUGACAGGAUUACUACAUAAAGAUUUUGAUUUGAAUUUCCACACUUAUUGCCCCCCUCAAUUCUCAGGUAAUCAUACUUCAUAUAUAAAUUCUUUUUGUUAAUUAUUGUAUCUUGAUACCUAAAUUUAUGUAGUUUAUCAGCCAUAACUUAAAAAAAGAAGCAAAAUAAUCAUGUACUUUAUAAACCCUAAGUUGCAUUGGACACACAAUUAGAUUAUGUUUACGUUUAUGUAACCCUAGACUGAAGUUUAUGCGAUUAAAAUUCUAAACUGAAACAAGAGUAUGUUGGUUUAUGUUACAGACAACUGGUGUGAUGAACCGGAACCAUACCGUCGAAAUUGGGGGUUUUGAUAAUGGAGCCUUGGUACUUUAGUUAAACAGUAGAAUGAAGAAUAUUUUUAUGGAUCUUCAUCGCCUGCAAUUUGGUAGUUUACUGUUGUUAGAGAUACUUUAUUCAUCGAUUGUUGAUUGAUUAUGUGGUGUUUAUUGUGUUGUUUUUCUGUUUUACAGCCCCCAUUUCUUCGAUUCAGCAACUUUGAUUAGCACCCAUUUUCAAAAAGCUCAGAUUUUUCAACAUGGGUUCUUUGAUCUUUCAAAUGGGUGUCUUUCUUUUCCUUCUUUUAUUAACUUUUAGCUGCAAUCUUGUGGAUUCACAAAUUGUAACAAGAAAAGAUGUUCUUCAAGGAAAUGUUUUCAUUGAUGGCAAAAGUUCAAUUGCAAAAAUUGAUAGUGACUUUAUUUCUGCUACAAUGGAUUGGUGGCCACCAGAGAAGUGUGAUUAUGGUACUUGUAGCUGGGGCCAAGCUUCUCUCCUCAAUGUGAAUUCAGGAGAUGGAUGCUUUGCAGUCAAGUACAAAUCACUCAUUGCAAGCUGAACUGCGAGAACGCACAGAACAAUACAAUCAGCUCUGGAUUGGUUGCCAGAGACAGGUUUGUUAACAUAUCAAAGCAUUAACUACAGUUCAUAAUCGGAUAAUUAUAGCUGGCUGAUUAUUUCACACAAAUGUUGGCUAUGGUUAUUGGCUUAUUGCUAAAUAAUCACUAUUAGAUAGAGGGGUCAGUUUUGACAAAUUUACUUGUAUAUAGACAGAUUUUGCUGUGUUUGUGGGUAGGUGUGGUUUUUAGAUUUUUUUUUAAAUCUCAAAUGGAUCACAUGCAUCAAAUAUGUUGAAAGUCUUCACAAAUUUGUGCAUGUAUUGUUCAUGCCAAAUCACGACGACUAAGGGUUCCAUGGUGAUUCCGGUAAGAAGGAUCUCCCGGUAUGAUUUUUGAAUCAGCAAUUACGGGCCGAUUCUCCAUUAUAAGGGCUGCAAAGACCGUCAGCGGCGGAAUUGGUGAGCUUUCGCGUGAAACCAAGAUUUCUUUCAUCCAGGUUGUUGUCUGUUCCUUCUUUUCCUAGGGUUUCAUUGUUUUAGUCCUUAUGUUUAUGU